rnacentral:rRNA from 1 species
GAUGAACGCUGGCGGCGUGCCUAAUACAUGCAAGUCGAGCGAACGGACGAGAAGCUUGCUUCUCUGAUGUUAGCGGCGGACGGGUGAGUAACACGUGGAUAACCUACCUAUAAGACUGGGAUAACUUCGGGAAACCGUAGCUAAUACCGGAUAAUAUUUUGAACCGCAUGGUUCAAAAGUGAAAGACGGUCUUGCUGUCACUUAUAGAUGGAUCCGCGCUGCAUUAGCUAGUUGGUAAGGUAACGGCUUACCAAGGCAACGAUGCAUAGCCGACCUGAGAGGGUGAUCGGCCACACUGGAACUGAGACACGGUCCGGACUCCUACGGGAGGCAGCAGUAGGGAAUCUUCCGCAAUGGGCGAGAGCCUGACGGAGCAACGCCGCGUGAGUGAUGAAGGUCUUCGGAUCGUAAAACUCUGUUAUUAGGGAAGAACAUAUGUGUAAGUAACUGUGCACAUCUUGACGGUACCUAAUCAGAAAGCCACGGCUAACUACGUG